rnacentral:rRNA from 1 species
AUUGAACGCUGGCGGCAUGCUUUACACAUGCAAGUCGAACGGCAGCGCGGGCUUCGGCCUGGCGGCGAGUGGCGAACGGGUGAGUAAUACAUCGGAACGUGCCCAGUAGUGGGGGAUAGCUCGGCGAAAGCCGGAUUAAUACCGCAUACGACCUGAGGGUGAAAGCGGGGGAUCUUCGGACCUCGCGCUAUUGGAGCGGCCGAUGGCAGAUUAGCUAGUUGGUGGGGUAAAGGCCUACCAAGGCGACGAUCUGUAGCUGGUCUGAGAGGACGACCAGCCACACUGGGACUGAGACACGGCCCAGACUCCUACGGGAGGCGGCAGUGGGGAAUUUUGGACAAUGGGCGAAAGCCUGAUCCAGCAAUGCCGCGUGUGUGAUGAAGGCCUUCGGGUUGUAAAGCACUUUUGGCGGGAACGAAAAGGACUGUGCCAAUACCACGGUUCGAUGACGGUACCCGCAGAAUAAGCACCGGCUAACUACGUG